rnacentral:rRNA from 1 species
AACGAACGCUGGCGGCAUGCCUAACACAUGCAAGUCGAACGAGACCUUCGGGUCUAGUGGCGCACGGGUGCGUAACGCGUGGGAACCUGCCUUUAGGUUCGGAAUAACUCAGAGAAAUUUGAGCUAAUACCGGAUGAUGUCUUCGGACCAAAGAUUUAUCGCCUUUAGAUGGGCCCGCGUUGGAUUAGCUAGUUGGUGGGGUAAAGGCCUACCAAGGCGACGAUCCAUAGCUAGUCUGAGAGGAUGAUCAGCCACACUGGGACUGAGACACGGCCCAGACUCCUACGGGAGGCAGCAGUGGGGAAUAUUGGACAAUGGGCGAAAGCCUGAUCCAGCAAUGCCGCGUGAGUGAUGAAGGCCUUAGGGUUGUAAAGCUCUUUUACCCGAGAUGAUAAUGACAGUAUCGGGAGAAUAAGCUCCGGCUAACUCCGUG